UGAACAGGUAAAAGGUUUGAAAUUUCUUCCUACAUAUGAACGACUCAAGAAUUGAAACACACAAAAUAAUCUUUUCACUUUUCAUGAACGUUAGUCUCUCUUUCUUAAAGCUACAGGUGCAGUCAAGAGAAACACGAAACAUCGAUCAAAUGGACUUCUAUGGAGGCAUCAUUCAACGAGAGACUCCAAAGAGGUCCAUGAAGCGUGUUCUGGUGGUACUUUUGAUCAUAAUUCUUCUCCUCGGACUUGUCGCAACGAGUGUAUUACUUUUUCUUGAGAAAACAAAAAUCAAUGAGAAGCCACUACCAACACCUUUGGCGAUAACUUGUCAGCAACCCCUGCAAAAACCAAAUAUCCAAAUCAACAGAUAAUGGAAAUGCAGAUUUAGGGAGCAGAGGGCGAAGUUUUCUGGUCAGCUUUAUCCAAAAUCACAACGAUGGAAAUACAACAAACCGAACAAUUAUUGUAUCAUCAAAAACUGAUUUCAACGUAACAAUUUCACUGCCAGAGAGUCAAAGUUCAAAUCUGAUAUCCAUUUCAAACCAUAUAAGUAGAACAGCAACAUUCAAGAAGUUAAAUGUUCACUACUCUCU